rnacentral:rRNA from 1 species
UACAGGGGGUGCAAACGUUGCUCGGAAUCAUUGGGCGUAAAGCGCACGUAGGCGGUCUGUUAUGUCGGAUGUGAAAGCCCUUGGCUUAACUGAGGAAGUGCAUCCGAAACUGGCAGGCUAGAGUACUAAAGAGGGUCGCGGAAUUCCCGGUGUAGAGGUGAAAUUCGUAGAUAUCGGGAGGAACACCGGUGGCGAAGGCGGGUCUCUGGGCCUGUACUGACGCUGAGGAACGAAAGCGUGGGGAGCGAACAGG